UGGUUACCAGUCUAAAAAAAGGAAAUAAAAACUGUCAAAAUAUGAUUGGGCACCAAAACGGUGCCUUGAGAAAGCAAAAAUAAACACAAUUAAGAACUAUUCCAGAAGCUUGUAAAGUAAAAUGAAGCGGCAGAAAUGAAACCUUAUCUCUGGUAACCCUUCUUCUCCCUCAUUUGAAACCAAAACCCCUUUGUAUCAGCUAUUGAAGAGACCUAUUCCCUCCCAGAAUCAAAUCUUUCUAGAACCACAGUCUCUGUCAAAAUUUCGAGUUCAUCGGGCAAUCAAAAUCACUGAGCCCGGACUCUACCUCUUCAUCUAUCCUCCAUAACCACCGUUUCGUCGCUCUUGAUUUACCAGGUUCUCCACUGCAGGCGGUACCUCCUCUAUCCAGUAUCGAGGGUGCUGAAAUCGGAUUCCUUCCUUUGCAAUCUCAUGAGCAGCUUUGUUGGCUUCCCUAGGUACGUGCUUGAAACACAAUCUCCUAAACUUGAGAACUCUCCCCUUGAUUUCUUUAAUCAAAUUGCUAAUACACGAUCGAUCUUCUUCUGCAGAGUUCAGUUUUCGUAUAAUAGUUAGCGCAUCUCCUUCAACACAAACAUCCUGAAAACCCAGCUCUUCUGCCAUGACAAUAGCUUGUAAACACGCCCUUGCCUCGGCCAUAAAUGGAUCUAAAAUAUUAUCCCAUGGAAAGGUACAAGCUGCCAUAGGCAAACCCUCUUUAUCACGUGCAAUGAUUCCUGAAAUAGAGCUUCUUGUGAUUCGAUUAAAUGAGGCGUCGAAAUUAAUUUUGAUGGUGUCAUUAUCCGGUGGUUUCCAGACUGAGUCUUUAAUGUCAUGUGUAUUCUGUAAUAUCUCCCCCAUACUAGAAAUUUCUGCAUAGUAAGCCUUGAUAAAUCCAACAACUUCAUGUACGUGCUCUCUGACUCCUUCAUGAUAUAGCUUGUUGCGAUUAUACCAGAUGGCCCAGUAAGCGAUAGAUUUGAUUUUGCAUGCUUCCAGACUCUUAUUUUCAAAAUCCGCUACUAACCAUGUUUUUCAAUUGGCUUCUCUGUUGCAUGUUGAAAAUGGCAUCUCCAAACCCCGCAAAACCUGCUGUGUGAAGGAACACUCCCUAAAAAGAUGGUCCACCGACUCUUCCUCAGAUCUGCAUACCGGGCAUAAAGGAUUGACAGCCAAUUGACGAGCUUUUAGAUUAUGCAAAGUGGGUAAAUAGUUGUUAGCAAUUCUCCACAUAAAAAUACGAAUUUUGCAUGGCACUUGGAGCUCCCAUAAUUUUGUAAAAAAAUUAGUAGGAAGUUCAUUAUGUAUUCUAGUACCCUCCUCUGUAAUUAGCCAUCUGUAUCCGCUCUUAGCUGUAUAUGUCCCAGUAUUAUCCCCUCGCCAUACCAAUGCAUCUUGUGGUCUACUAUUUGCCAAUGGAAUUGUGAGAAUGCGCUUCAACUGUUCCUCUCCAAAUAAUGAUUGAAUAAUGUCUUGCUUCCAGGUAUUAUUUUCCUUAUCAAUUAUGUCCGAGACUCGAGUAACUCGUAAAUCCAUAUUCUGACAUCUAAUUCUACCACUGCCAAGUCCUGGAAGCCAACUGUCGUUCCAUAUAUUGACUGAUUCCCCAUUAUUGAUUCGCCACCCCAUCCCCUCCUCGAGAAGUUGUCUGGCUCCCCAAAUACUACGCCAGGUAUACGAAGGGUAAGAACCUACCCUAGCACUCAUAAAAUCUCCUUUCGGGAAAUACUUAGCUUUCAUAACGCGUGCAAACAAACAAUCUGGUUUCGUGAUAAUUUUCCAACCCUACUUCGCUAACAAAGCUAAAUUAAAUUUUGACAGAUCUUUAAAACCUAAACCUCCCUUCGCUUUGGGGAUGCACAUUUACACCAAUGGAUACCUUUAUUAGUUUUACUAUUCC
rnacentral:lncRNA from 1 species